AAUCCUGACGUUACGACUGUCGCGAGGAGGCUUCUGGGAAUGUUAGUUUAAGCGAUUGACUGAGAGGGGCGCCAUAUUGUUGUCUGCGGCGUCGCCACAAAUACAAGCUACGCAUUUAACUGACACACCUACUGCAGCGAAUGGUUACAGGCGCAAUCAUGGCAAGCCCAAUAAAAGAUAACUACAGAAUGAAGAGCUACAAAAACAAAGCGCUGAAUCCUCAGGAGAUGCGCAGGCGAAGAGAAGAAGAAGGGAUUCAGCUUCGGAAACAAAAGCGGGAAGAGCAGUUGUUUAAGAGAAGAAACGUAUCGCUUCCUACUAAUGAAGAAUCCAUGUUAGAAUGCCCAAUACAGGAUCCCGACAUAAGCUCCACAGUACCACAUGCAGGAGAAGGAGUAAUAACGCCCGAUAUGGUUCAGAUGAUUUUCUCUGAUGAUCCUGAUCAGCAGCUUGUGGCAACACAAAAGUUUAGGAAAUUACUGUCCAAAGAACCUUAUCCGCCUAUAGAUGAAGUAAUACUUACACAAGGAGUUGUAAACAGAUUUGUAGAGUUUCUCAAAAGAAGUGAAAAUUGCACACUGCAGUUUGAAGCAGCAUGGGCUUUAACGAAUAUAGCGUCUGGAACAUUCCUACAUACCAAAGCUGUUAUCGAAACUGGUGCAGUACCAAUUUUUAUAGAGUUGCUCAAUUCAGAAUAUGAAGAUGUACAAGAACAGGCAGUCUGGGCGCUAGGAAAUAUAGCUGGAGACAAUGCAGAGUGCAGAGACUAUGUGUUAAACUGUGGAAUACUUCCUUCACUCUUAAAAUUACUAACAAAGUCAAGUCGACUUACAACAACAAGAAAUGCAGUAUGGGCUCUGUCUAAUUUAUGCAGAGGGAAGAAUCCUCCACCAGAUUUUAGUAAGGUAUCUCCGUGUUUGAAUGUAUUGUCAAGGCUUCUCUUCAGCAGUGAUCCAGAUGUGUUGGCAGAUGCUUGCUGGGCCCUUUCAUAUCUCUCGGAUGGACCCAAUGACAAAAUUCAAGCAGUAAUUGACUCCGGUGUUUGUAGAAGACUAGUGGAGCUUUUGAUGAACAGUGACUACAAGGUUGUUUCCCCUGUGUUGAGAGCGGUUGGAAACAUAGUAACAGGUGAUGACGUUCAAACUCAGGUAAUACUUAACUGCUCAGCAUUGCCUUGUCUUCUGCAACUACUGAGUAGUCCUAAAGAAUCUAUAAGAAAGGAAGCCUGCUGGACUGUUUCUAAUAUCACUGCAGGAAACAGAACUCAGAUCCAGGCUGUAAUUGAAUCAAACAUAUUCCCUGUACUAAUUGAGAUUCUUCAGAAAGCUGAGUUUCGCACAAGAAAGGAAGCCGCAUGGGCCAUCACUAAUGCAACAUCAGGAGGAACACCUGAACAGAUCAGGUACUUGGUGUCCUUGAAUUCCAUCAAGCCUCUUUGUGACUUGCUGACGGUGAUGGACUCUAAAAUAGUUCAAGUUGCUUUGAACGGGCUGGAAAAUAUUUUAAGAUUGGGAGAGCAAGAAGCAAAACAGAAUGGCACAGGCAUCAACCCUUACUGCUCCUUUAUAGAAGAAGCAUAUGGUCUGGAUAAAAUUGAAUUUCUCCAAAGUCAUGAGAACCAAGAGAUCUAUCAGAAGGCUUUUGAUUUAAUAGAACACUAUUUUGGUGUGGAAGAAGAAGAUUCCAGCAUUGCCCCGCAGGUUGACGAGACCCAGCAACAGUUCAUCUUUCAGCAACAGGAGGCACCAAUGGAGGGGUUUCAGCUGUAACAUCAAAUCCAAAUAUCCUGAACAGCCUCCAGAUUACAGCUUGUGAGGGUUUCAUGAUGUCCGGCAGCCUGGAAGAUCUGCUAGAUGCAGUCUUCUGCAGAAAUUUCUGUACCGUUCUGAAGAGAUGAUCACAGCUGUGUGUGUGAAACAUUCAAUAAAAGGUAUUAAUGUUCCUUGUUUCCUACCUGUUUACCGGAUAAAAUCGUAGCAAAACAGGCAAUCACUGUCAUUCCUAUCAUUAUGUAGCAGGUUUUUAUUCAAGCCUUGUAGCUUUUUUUCUGUCAAAACACAAGCUUACUUCUUGAAAUCUGUAAAACCCUGGGAUGAAGUACAAAAUUCAGCCAAUCUUCAAGAUAAUUCAGGAUUGAGUGGUGGCAUUACAUCUAGGUACAACUUUUCUUCUGUUCUACAUAUUUAGACUACAAUGAAACCUGCAAUUAAGGUCAUACUUAAUAGACCACUUCAAUGUUAAUAGACCCUCAGUAUUAACUCCACCCCACUAUUAGGGCCACAACAUUGAGUUGGUCCCUUGAGAGGUUCCAAUGAUCAUAAUGGUCUUCAUAUGGAACUGGUUACAAGGAGUAAUAAACCUCUGUGUAAUGCAUAGUCUACCUCCCUUUAACAGCUCAUAUUUGACGUUAAGCUCAUUUGCAUUUCUCCACCCAGGUAGAGGGUAAAGAACAAAGCUUGGUGUCUGGUUGUGGGUAGUCGAUGAGCAGGAGAGUCAGGGAGCGGUUAAGCAGUACUUCAUUUUCAUGACCUUUUAGAGGCUUUUUUUUUUUUUCUCCUGUUAAACUGUAACUUGAUUGAGACCAUAGGCGCCAAACCCAUAGGGUACAGGGGAGACAAACUAUAUAUUUUGCUAAGUGUGUACACACUAUUCUAUAUUUUUUUGCCCUUAAACAAAAUGUAAUUAAAAAAAAAAAAAAAACGAAGACACCAGAGGUCCGACAUUGAUAAAAAAAAAAUUAUAAAAUGAAUAUUAUGUUAAGUGGGCAUACAUGUGAAAGGUUUGAUGAGUAACAUUUCAAAAUCUAUGUUUGUUAACUAGCCUUGUGUGAUUUAUCAUGUUGAUCCAUCUGGUAAAAUGACAAGUUAUAAGUGAAGUAAUUUUUUAAUUUCUUUUUCUGCAAAAAGUCAAGUUCAAAUUUGCUUCUGAAAGUGAUCCAAAAUGGCUCAGAAUGCCUGGGAGCGUAUCUAAACCCAGAGCUUCGGGGGGCCUAGACCCCGGCCAAAAGAUUGGGCGCAUACAACCCCAGAGCUUCGGGGGGCCUAGACCCCGGCCAAAAGAUUGGGAGCAUACAACCCCAGAGCUUCGGGGGGCCUAGACCCCAGCCAAAAGAUUGGGAGCAUACAACCCCAGAGCUUCGGGGGGCCUAGACCCCGGCCAAAAGAUUGGGCGCAUACAACCCCAGAGCUUCGGGGGGCCUAGACCCCGGCCAAAAGAUUGGGAGCAUACAACCCCAGAGCUUCGGGGGGCCUAGACCCCGGCCAAAAGAUUGGGCGCAUACAACCCCAGAGCUUCGGGGGGCCUAGACCCCGGCCAAAAGAUUGGGAGCAUACAACCCCAGAGCUUCGGGGGGCCUAGACCCCGGCCAAAAGAUUGGGAGCAUACAACCCCAGAGCUUCGGGGGGCCUAGACCCCGGGCAAAAGAUUGGUUUUGCAGUCUAUUACAAUCAAGAAACGUCGAAUGCCUUUUUCUUGGUUUUCAUAAAGUGUGACACAAAAAUAUUGCAGUAAUUCCUUCAAGUUUUGACCUACAUUAAGUUAAUUCAUUAAGCAACCCAUGCCAAUAACAUUUAAAAAACGAAUUAUCUGGGAAGCAUUUGCCUGAAGUGCAACUGUGAUUUAAUAUACAAUAAUUGAAAACUUAGUAUAUGGCUGGUUUCACAGACCUUGAUUAGCACUAAUCCUGGACUACCUAAUGUAGUUCAGUGUUAAUCGGGGUCUGUGAAACUACCUGUCAGUUAUGAUGCAUCAGCGAUUAAAUAAUGUUUUAUUAUUAUUUAUUUCUUAGCAGACGCCCUUAUCCAGGGCGACUUACAAUCGAAAGCAAAUACAUUUCAAGUAUCACAGUACAAGUAAUAAUACAAUUAUUAUUAUCCUCUCCUCUCUAGCAGUGACUCAAUAACAGCUGUACGUCUUUCAGCAGGAUUCUCAUACUGUUGUAGGAAUGAGUGUAAAUAUGCGCUUUUCAAUUCAUCAUGGCAGAUAUAAAUACUAACACUGUUUAAAUAAUAAAAUAGGAAGAAACCUGGUGUUUUACUUGCUUUCAAAGAUAAAAAUGACAUUUAGAAUUUACAAUGGCUCUAUUACUUGCCAGCAUUUAGAUCAAUUGAAUAAAACCCAUUGUGUUAAAAAAAAAAAAAAA